rnacentral:rRNA from 1 species
UCCGGUGACCAUAGCGUGGGGGUCCCACCCGAUCCCAUUCCGAACUCGGAAGUUAAGCCCCACAGCGCCGAUGGUACUGCAGGGGAAACCUUGUGGGAGAGUAGGACGUUGCCGGAU